rnacentral:rRNA from 1 species
UACGUAGGGGGCAAGCGUUGUCCGGAUUUAUUGGGCGUAAAGAGCGUGUAGGCGGCCAAGCAGGUCCGCUGUGAAAACUCGAGGCUCAACCUCGAGACGUCGGUGGAAACCGUUUGGCUAGAGUCCGGAAGAGGAGAGUGGAAUUCCCGGUGUAGCGGUGAAAUGCGCAGAUAUCAGGAGGAACACCAAUGGCGAAGGCAGAUCUCUGGGCCGUAACUGACGCUGGAGGAGCGAAAAGCAUGGGGAGCGAACAGG